UACGGAGGGUGCUAGCGUUGUUCGGAAUCACUGGGCGUAAAGCGCACGUAGGCGGCUUUGUAAGUUAGAGGUGAAAGCCCGGAGCUCAACUCCGGAACUGCCUUUAAGACUGCAUCGCUUGAAUCCAGGAGGGGUGAGUGGAAUUCCGAGUGUAGAGGUGAAAUUCGUAGAUAUUCGGAAGAACACCAGUGGCGAAGGCGGCUCACUGGACUGGUAUUGACGCUGAGGUGCGAAAGCGUGGGGAGCAAACAGG
rnacentral:rRNA from 1 species